GGGGGCUGCCUGUGGUUGGGCAGGAAAGGCAUGAACCCUGACUCUUGGGCUUGGCUGGAAUCCAGUCUCUACCCCUUGCUCCUUGUGUGAAUGCAGGUCACUGCCUUGCCAUUUGCUGAGCACCCUCUGUGCACCUGACGCUGAAGGCCCUCCUGAGGUCAGCAGUCAUUGCAGCCCUCUGUCCUGUUGCAGAUGGACAGACAGAAAGCAGAGAAGCAUUAUGUCCUCAUGGCUCAUGGCCGAUGAGGCUGAGAUUCAAAGACAGCUGUGUUUCCAGAUGAUUUUCUUCAGGGUGUGAGGUUCUGCAGGGGGAGGUGGAUGGGGGCUGGAGGCUGCACAGUUGGGGUGGUUGUGGCCCUCCAGCCCCUCCUUUGGGAAGAAUUCUACUAUCAUAUGGUUUGGUAAUUAUGAAUUUAUUGGAAAAAUAUUUGCAACUCAAAAGCUGUUGGAAAAUAAUUAUGUUUUUACUCCAUUAUGCCUUUCUUUCUAAGUUAGUUAAGCUCCUGGAGAGUCUUUGUCUUCUGCAAACUCAGGCUAAUAAUAGUACAAUCCUAGAAUUGUGGAAAAGAUGAAUCGAAGUAAUACACACGAACCGUUUGGUACAGAAUAGGGCCUCGCACACCAAUUGGUUCUCUUCCCCCUCAUCAAACAAAGACUUUGCAUGUAGGUGUGGCUCUCAACUGCCUGGGACAGGGCCAAACCAUUUAUUUGGAUAUUUUCGCAUUGUUUACAAUAAAGGCUAAUUAAUUCAACAACUAUUUGUUGAGAACCAACUGUGUGCCUAGAAAUGUGUGGGUCUGUGGCCAGAGAUGCCUGGUGGAAGGUGGGGUGGGCAGCCAGGUACCAUGGCGGCUGUGAGAGUUGUGGCCUCCUGCCCAUCCCUCUCUACCUGCCUCCCCCCGCCCUGCAAGAGAGUCCAAUGUCCAAGCAGGCGCCAUCAGGCCAUUCUUGUCUUUGGCUCUUUUCAAAUUUUUUCUGUGUUUUUGUGAGUUUGAUCCUUAGGAGGAGUGACCAUAGAGAAACCCAGGGUAGAUUGGAGGUGAAGAGGAGGGAUCAGUGGGGAGGGGCACAGUAAGGUUGACAUGUAUUUCCUUCCUGACUCAGCCAGAGGGGCCCUGUGUCUGCUGUCAAGGGGCUAAAAUAACACCCAUGUUGGGUUCCCUGGGCCUUGGGCCUCCGGCCCUAGCCUCUGGACACCUGUUGGCACUGUCCACUCUUGCAGAUGGGGUUUCAUGUAGCAAAGAGGGGAAUUCAGGCCAGUGACCUCUGAGGGGACCUUCUGAUAAGACAACCAAAGCCAGGCUGGGGGAAAGGAGACGGAGCAGGUUAGGAAGCUGUGGGGGUGGGACCCAGAGCGACACACUGUAACUCCCACAGACAUUGAGUUUGGGGAGAAUGGGGUGAAAACACCAAUUUCAAACAGCAACGCCAAACCUAGGAAAAGACUGAAGUAGUUGAAGAAGACCUUGAAAGUUUUCCCAAAUUUGCUAAAGUGAGGGGUUAUUUAUAUGAGCUCUGCAUCUGUUGCACAACAGGAAAGUCCAGGUGAGAAAAGGAAGGCAAGAUGUCAUUCGUGGUCAGAUGUCUCUUGAAUGAUGUCCUGAAUGAAGAGAGAGUCCAGCCUAUACCAAGAGCUGGUCUGGUCAAGAAACGAUACCAAGGGACCUUCCUAAAGGACUGGCAAUGAAGUGGACAGUGGCAGUCAUAAACAUUGAUAUGUGCCAGAAACUCACUUCAACCCUCUGCAUGAGCUCACUCAAUGCUAACAACAUUGUUAGGAAGCAGGUACUAUUACUAUCCCCACGUUACAGACGAGGAAGCUGGGGCACAGCCAGGUUAAGGUGCAAGCUUAACAUCAGCUGUGAGGCCAGAGUUCAAAGUGAGAGGCUGACCCCAGAACCCCUGCUCUCAAACACUUGCUUCCUCUCUACAAAGUGCACUGUUUGUGCAGAAGUCCUAAGAGGAGCCAAGGCUGGAGUAGUGGCUUUAAACUGGGGCCAGACCUUCUGAAUUGGUGAGCAAAAGUCAGUGUGUGUUAGUAUAUCUUUGGGAAUUUUCCCCCUAAGGAGUGGGAGGACAGAGUAUUUCCAGAGAAAUCAAUCAGCCCCAAUAAGUAAGAGUCCCAGAGGGCUGGGGUAAUGCCUACACACCAGUCUCCCAACCAAGGCUCAGCUUCUGGGCUGCCAGUUGGGCUGUAGGGCCUAGGCUGACUUGCAUUCUCAGGGCCAAUGGCCUUGCUACCUCCAGCUGGAUCUCCCAGAAAAGGUGUUUCCUUGCAGGGGCUUAGCUGUCUGUCUUCAUGGGAACUUUGGCUGGGAAGUAUGUCCUCUGGUAAGCAUUUCAUUUGCUGGGCUUGGCUUGGUAUAUAUUUACUAGAAGAUGAAGCCUGUUACAACAGAAAAAUGGUUACUGCACUGGAACAUUUUUCUCUAAGUGACAUUAUCCAUGACUUCUACUGAAAAGAAAAGAGAGGCAAAAUCCUUGUAUUCUGGGCCAAUGCUUUUGCAGUUUUCUGAUGAUGUAGAUUAUAGCCUGUCUAGCUUCCUAGCAGAUCUGUCUUACUCAUAAGAUACAGUAUAGCUUAAAAAAUCAGAAGAGGGGUGGGGGCUGGAGAAGAGGGCAUCAUUCUUAUUUUCAGAUAAGAUUUUGUAUUAUGAUUAAGUCACUUUCCCCAGACAACUCAGAUGAAGCAGAGGUUUUCUCUGUGAAGAUCAAUGUUGUCACUGGUCCUGAGUAGCAAAGAAAUAUGUAUGUUUUUUCCUGUCAUCUACAGCUAACAGUGAAGAAGCACAGCGAAUCAGGAACAAUGGAUAGAUUAGAGUCAUCUGAUUGGUGUUUGAAAAGCCAUACCAUUUUUGCUUUCAUAGGUAUUAGUGUAACUUGCAACACUCUUAUUGUUAGAUUUCAGUGAAAUAGGAAAAUACCCUUCCCACCAAAAAUGUACCUGCUACAAUCAGAGUCUGAUGCCAGUGUUUUAUCUCUUUCUGUCCCUUGGCUCUUUCAAUUUCCACUGUUUUAUUUGGAGGAGACCGUGGGAUGUGCUCUGGAGCAGAGAAGAUGUGCUGGUUGAAAUCCCACCUCUGUCCUGAGUCACAACCUCCAUGAGCCUCUGUUGGACGUCUCUCCUAUCUUUACUGAUUUUUUGUGCUGAUUUAUGGAUUAUUCAUCUGGUUGUCCUUCUCCCCGGUUCUGACAGUCUUGGCUUCAUACAUUUUGAGGCUGUGAGUGUGUUCAAGCAUUGUGUUGUCUGUCUUCCUAGUGAACUCCGCUUACCAGCCUUUAUCUCUAGCAUUUCUAUUGGCCUUUGAGUCUACUUAGUCCAAUAUGAAUAGAGUUAACCAAGCCUUUGUCAUUGGUGGGUCUGUUUGCCUUGUAUACCUUUUUCUAUACUUUUGCUUUUACUCUUUCAAAGUCUUAUGUUUUAGUGCAUCACUUGUAAUCUUCAAAAAAAAAAAAAAAA
rnacentral:lncRNA from 1 species